ACUCCUACGGGAGGCAGCAGUGGGGAAUAUUGCACAAUGGGGGAAACCCUGAUGCAGCCAUGCCGCGUGUGUGAAGAAGGCCUUCGGUUGUAAAGCACUUUCUAGUAGGGAGGAAGGUAGUGUAGUUAACACCUGCAUUAUUUGUACGUUACCUACAGAAGAAGCACCGGCUAACUCCGUGCCAGCAGCCGCGGUAAUACGGAGGGUGCGAGCGUUAAUCGGAAUUACUGGGCGUAAAGCGCAUGCAGGCGGCCUGUUAAGUCAGAUGUGAAAGCCCGGGGCUUAACCUCGGAAUUGCAUUUGAAACUGGCAGGCUAGAGUCUUGUAGAGGGGUAGAAUUUCAGGUGUAGCGGUGAAACGCGUAGAGAUCUGAA
rnacentral:rRNA from 1 species